rnacentral:rRNA from 1 species
UGGGGAAUUUUGGACAAUGGACGCAAGUCUGAUCCAGCCAUGCCGCGUGCGGGAAGAAGGCCUUCGGGUUGUAAACUGCUUUUGUACGGAACGAAAAGACUCUGGUUAAUACCUGGGGUCCAUGACGGUACCGUAAGAAUAAGCACCGGCUAACUACGUGCCAGCAGCCGCGGUAAUACGUAGGGUGCGGGCGUUAAUCGGAAUUACUGGGCGUAAAGCGUGCGCAGGCGGUUAUGCAAGACAGAUGUGAAAUCCCCGGGCUCAACCUGGGAACUGCAUUUGUGACUGCAUAGCUGGAGUGCGGCAGAGGGGGAUGGAAUUCCGCGUGUAGCAGUGAAAUGCGUAGAUAUGCGAAGGAACACCGGUGGCGAAGGCAAUCCCCUGGACCUGUACUGACGCUCAUGCACGAAAGCGUGGGGAGCAAACA